rnacentral:rRNA from 1 species
GAAACGGUAGCUAAUACCGCAUAACGUCGCAAGACCAAAGAGGGGGACCUUCGGGCCUCUUGCCAUCGGAUGUGCCCAGAUGGGAUUAGCUAGUAGGUGGGGUAACGGCUCACCUAGGCGACGAUCCCUAGCUGGUCUGAGAGGAUGACCAGCCACACUGGAACUGAGACACGGUCCAGACUCCUACGGGAGGCAGCAGUGGGGAAUAUUGCACAAUGGGCGCAAGCCUGAUGCAGCCAUGCCGCGUGUAUGAAGAAGGCCUUCGGGUUGUAAAGUACUUUCAGCGGGGAGGAAGGGAGUAAAGUUAAUACCUUUGCUCAUUGACGUUACCCGCAGAAGAAGCACCGGCUAACUCCGUGCCAGCAGCCGCGGUAAUACGGAGGGUGCAAGCGUUAAUCGGAAUUACUGGGCGUAAAGCGCACGCAGGCGGUUUGUUAAGUCAGAUGUGAAAUCCCCGGGCUCAACCUGGGAACUGCAUCUGAUACUGGCAAGCUUGAGUCUCGUAGAGGGGGGUAGAAUUCCAGGUGUAGCGGUGAAAUGC